rnacentral:lncRNA from 1 species
ACUUUUAGCCAAAUAGCUUUCUGUAACGGUCAAACUCAAUAGCAAUAAUAACCCGUUGGUCCCAAACUAUCGACCUAAAAUACUUAAGCUCAAUUAUUAUUUAGAAUCGAUGACUUUUAUAUUCCCAAUCACUCGUUUCCAAUUAACGUGGGAAUAUUGGCGAGUCAUAAAUUCCUCCAGCGUAGGUUAUGAAGUCCUCAUCAGUCCAAUCAUGCAGACAAUCUAAGAUCAUCAAACGACAUAAGGCUUAUCUCACAUUUUAGACGAUGUGAGACCCACCUUUUAUUUUCUGAUACCAAAUGUAACAAUCCAGAUCAUUAGCUCUAACUAUUAUUAUUAGAGUACGUGGCCUCUUAUAUUCCUAACCCCUUCUACAUUCCAUUUGAGAUUAUUAAGGUAUUAUAC